AAAAUGUGUUACAAGAUGCAUUAUUUUCAAUACUUGGAAUCGAUUUUUCUCAUGCCCAUACAUCUUGAGGUCGAUAUGAUCGAUUUGAGGAUUUUUGGGCAUCGAAAUAACCUCUUCUAGUGAAUUUGUGUGCCUUAAUUUGAUUGUUUAGGUCCUAACCCUUAUAAAAACUGUUUCCUAGCUUAAAUGGUCAAAAACUUGGCAUGCUCAUGCUAAUUUUCCUUCAUCAUUUGUAUGCCUACUGAUCUAUGCAUUUCGAGCGACCCAUCAUCUUGUGAGAUUGCUUCUUGUUUGGCUUCCCAUCUUUGAGGAGUGAGGAGAGUCUGAUUCCGCUAUCGAAGGCACAUAUCAGAUUUGGGGUGUAGUAGUCUUGAGGGAUGACCUACGCAUUCGAGUUCCAUCAUUGGCUUCC
rnacentral:lncRNA from 1 species